rnacentral:rRNA from 1 species
CGGCCGCGGUAUCUUGACCGUGCAAAGGUAGCAUAAUCACUUGUCUCUUAAAUGGGGACCCGUAUGAAUGGCUUUUCAUCCUUUAACUGUCUCCCUUUUUCACCACACAAACUUCUAUUUACGUGAAGAAGCGUACUUUAGAGAGAAAGACGAGAAGACCCUGUCGAGCUUUAGCUUAUCCUGAAAACUAAGUAUACCCUUCCAGGAAAAACCCUUUUCAGGCCAAGCUUUGGUUGGGGCAACCAUGGAGAAAAGAAAUCCUCCAGUUUUAUAGGAAGAGAACCACUCUCCUCCCCCGUUCUCAAGAACCAACAACUUUGGAAAACGGAAAAAGUUACCGCAGGGAUAACAGCGUUAUCUUUUCUGAGAGCCCUUAUUGACGAAAAGGAUUGCGACCUCGAUGUUGGAUUGGGGUAACCAAAGGGUGCAGCAGCUCU